rnacentral:rRNA from 1 species
CCUACGGGGCGCAGCAGUGGGGAAUAUUGCACAAUGGGCGAAAGCCUGAUGCAGCAACGCCGCGUGAAGGAAGACGGUUUUCGGAUUGUAAACUUCUGUUCUUAGUGAAGAAUAAUGAAGGUAACUAAGGAGCAAGCCAAGGCUAACUACGUGCCAGCAGCCGCGGUAAUACGUAGGUGGCAAGCGUUGUCCGGAAUUACUGGGUGUAAAGGGAGCGUAGGCGGGAAGACAAGUCAGCUGUGAAAACUACGGGCUUAACCUGUAGACUGCAGUUGAAACUGGCUUUCUAGAGUGAAGUAGAGGUUGGCGGAAUUCCGAGUGUAGCGGUGAAAUGCGUAGAUAUUCGGAAGAACACCGGUGGCGAAGGCGGCUAACUGGGCUUUAACUGACGUUGAGGCUCGAAAGUGUGGGGAGCAAACAGGAUUAGAUACCCCUGUAGUC